rnacentral:rRNA from 1 species
AUUGAACGCUGGCGGCAGGCUUAACACAUGCAAGUCGAGCGGGGGAAGGUAGCUUGCUACCGGACCUAGCGGCGGACGGGUGAGUAAUGCUUAGGAAUCUGCCUAUUAGUGGGGGACAACAUCUCGAAAGGGAUGCUAAUACCGCAUACGUCCUACGGGAGAAAGCAGGGGAUCUUCGGACCUUGCGCUAAUAGAUGAGCCUAAGUCGGAUUAGCUAGUUGGUGGGGUAAAGGCCUACCAAGGCGACGAUCUGUAGCGGGUCUGAGAGGAUGAUCCGCCACACUGGGACUGAGACACGGCCCAGACUCCUACGGGAGGCAGCAGUGGGGAAGAUUGGACAAUGGGGGGAACCCUGAUCCAGCCAUGCCGCGUGUGUGAAGAAGGCCUUAUGGUUGUAAAGCACGUUAAGCGAGGAGGAGGCUACUUUAGUUAAUACCUAGAGAUAGUGGACGUUACUCGCAGAAUAAGCACCGGCUAACUCUGUG